CAGUGAUAGGGCCAAGAGGGAGCAUCUAAAUAGAAAAUGAAAUCGGACCUAAAUUUGAACCCUGAGGUACACCACAGGUAAUGUGGGCUGAAGAGGAUGAAUACCGAGACGGUUCUUUCUAAAAGUGUCUGAAAAUACCCUGUGCUCCAGACUAGAAGAAAAUGUCCCACUACAGCAGUGAUUCUCAAAAGUUCAAACCACUUUAACCGUUGACCUCAUUGCCAGCCUCCUACAGGACGACCUCUUCUCAACCCUGCCAGAACUCAACGCUUUGAUGCUUUUAACAAAGACAAGAGUGCCUUUUGAACUUGACAGCUCUUUCACUCUGCG